CGAUCGGUGAUCCGCGAAUUAAUAGGAACUGACGCCAUUAGUCUGCGUAACGUUCACCAACGGCCAUUUUCCGUUCAAAUGGCGUCUACUGUACGUGUAAAAUUUCCAUCGAAAUUUCUGGACACCAUAACGCCAGACAAAUUGUGCAGCUUACCAGGGAAAGCAGAAUAAUAGGUUUUAUACAUCAUCCAGUAAAAGUUCUUCGAUGUUCGACGCAGGUAAAGCAGAACUACUCCGAAGUUCAACGUGGGUAAUGCAGAGGUACUCCAAUGUCGACGUGGGUUAUGCAGAGCUAUUCCGAUGAUUAGCGACAGCAGAGCCACUACGUAACCCUGUAUCAAAACAACGGU